rnacentral:rRNA from 1 species
GAUGAACGCUGGCGGCGUGCCUAAUACAUGCAAGUCGAGCGAACGGACGAGAAGCUUGCUUCUCUGAUGUUAGCGGCGGACGGGUGAGUAACACGUGGAUAACCUACCUAUAAGACUGGGAUAACUUCGGGAAACCGUAGCUAAUACCGGAUAAAAUUUUGAACCGCAUGGUUCAAAAGUGAAAGACGGUCUUGCUGUCACUUAUAGAUGGAUCCGCGCUGCAUUAGCUAGUUGGUAAGGUAACGGCUUACCAAGGCAACGAUGCAUAGCCGACCUGAGAGGGUGAUCGGCCACACUGGAACUGAGACACGGUCCAGACUCCUACGGGAGGCAGCAGUAGGGAAUCUUCCGCAAUGGGCGAAAGCCUGACGGAGCAACGCCGCGUGAGUGAUGAAGGUCUUCGGAUCGUAAAACUCUGUUAUUAGGGAAGAACAUAUGUGUAAGUAACUGUGCACAUCUUGACGGUACCUAAUCAGAAAGCCACGGCUAACUACGUG